rnacentral:misc_RNA from 1 species
AAAAUGCGAUACAUAAUGUGAAUUGCAGAACUCCGUGAAUCAUCAAGUUUUUGAACGCAUAUUGCGCUCGAGGUCUAGGCCAAGAGCAUGUCUGCCUCAGCGUCGGGUAUCUAUCACCAUGAUCAUCAUGUGUGGAUGUGGCCUUCCCUAGAUAUAUAUUUCUAUGGUUUGCUCAAACAAUAUGAAGCUAUGUUGAUUACAGAUUAUUCAUGUUAUGGUGCUUCACAUACAUAAGCAAUUAUGCAUACAAUGAACCCAUAACACCCUUUCUGUACUUGAUAUAGUCUUUGUCGAAUCUCUUAAUUUAACCUCGACCUGAGCUCAGGCAAGAUAACCCGCUGAACUUAA